rnacentral:rRNA from 1 species
UACGGAGGGUGCGAGCGUUACCCGGAUUUACUGGGUGUAAAGGGCGUGUAGGCGGCUUUAUAAGUCCGAUGCUAAAGACUGAGGCUCAACCUCAGGAGUGCGUUGGAUACUGUAGAGCUAGACGGUCGGAGAGGGUAGCGGAAUUUCCUGAGUAGCGGUGAAAUGCGCAGAUACAGGAAGGAACGCCAAUAGCGAAAGCAGCUACCUGGACGAUUUGUGACGCUGAGGCGCGAAAGCGUGGGGAGCAAACCGG